CAAGUCGAACGCGAAAGGGGAGCAAUCCCUGAGUAGAGUGGCAAACGGGUGAGUAACACGUGGGUGACCUGCCUUCGAGUGGGGGAUAACGUUCCGAAAGGGACGCUAAUACCGCAUGACAUCCUGCCUUUGGAAAGGCGGAGAUCAAAGCUGGGGAUCGCAAGACCUGGCGCUUGAAGAGGGGCCCGCGCCUGAUUAGCUAGUUGGUGGGGUAACGGCUCACCAAGGCGACGAUCAGUAUCCGGCCUGAGAGGGCGGACGGACACACUGGGACUGAGACACGGCCCAGACUCCUACGGGAGGCAGCAGUGGGGAAUUGUUCGCAAUGGGCGCAAGCCUGACGACGCAACGCCGCGUGGAGGACGAAGAUCUUCGGGUCGUAAACUCCUGUCGAGCGGGAAGAACGCUUCCUGGGUCAAUAGCCCGGGGAAUUGACGGUACCGCUAAAGGAAGCCCCGGCUAACUCCGUGCCAGCAGCCGCGGUAAUACGGGGGGGGCAAGCGUUGUUCGGAAUUACUGGGCGUAAAGGGCUCGUAGGCGGCCAACUAAGUCGGAUGUGAAAUCCCCAGGCUCAACCUGGGAACUGCAUCCGAUACUGGAUGGCUUGAAUCCGGGAGAGGGAUGCAGAAUUCCAGGUGUAGCGGUGAAAUGCGUAGAUAUCUGGAGGAAUACCGGUGGCGAAGGCGGCAUCCUGGACCGGCAUUGACGCUCAAGAGCGAAAGCUAGGGGAGCAAACGGGAUUAGAUACCCCGGUAGUCCUAGCCCUAAACGAUGAAUGCUUGGUGUGACGGGUAUCGAUCCCUGUCGUGCC
rnacentral:rRNA from 1 species